rnacentral:rRNA from 1 species
UACGUAGGGUGCGAGCGUUGUCCGGAAUUAUUGGGCGUAAAGAGCUUGUAGGCGGUUUGUCGCGUCUGCUGUGAAAUCUCAAGGCUCAACCUUGAGCUUGCGGUGGGUACGGGCAGACUAGAGUGUGGUAGGGGAGACUGGAAUUCCUGGUGUAGCGGUGAAAUGCGCAGAUAUCAGGAGGAACACCGAUGGCGAAGGCAGGUCUCUGGGCCACUACUGACGCUGAGGUGCGAAAGCGUGGGGAGCAAACAGG